rnacentral:rRNA from 1 species
AUUGAACGCUGGCGGCAUGCUUUACACAUGCAAGUCGAACGGCAGCGCGGGCUUCGGCCUGGCGGCGAGUGGCGAACGGGUGAGUAAUGCAUCGGAACGUGCCCAGUAGUGGGGGAUAGCCCGGCGAAAGCCGGAUUAAUACCGCAUACGACCUGAGGGUGAAAGCGGGGGACCGAAAGGCCUCGCGCUAUUGGAGCGGCCGAUGUCGGAUUAGCUAGUUGGUGGGGUAAAGGCUUACCAAGGCGACGAUCCGUAGCUGGUCUGAGAGGACGACCAGCCACACUGGGACUGAGACACGGCCCAGACUCCUACGGGAGGCAGCGGUGGGAAUUUUGGACAAUGGGGGCAACCCUGAUCCAGCCAUGCCGCGUGCGGGAAGAAGGCCUUCGGGUUGUAAACCGCUUUUGUUCGGGAAGAAAUCCUCUGGGCUAAUACCCCGGGGGGAUGACGGUACCGGAAGAAUAAGCACCGGCUAACUACGUG